CGGACGGGUGAGUAACGCGUGAGAAUCUGCCCUCAGGACGGGGACAACAGCUGGAAACGGCUGCUAAUACCCGAUGUGCCGAGAGGUGAAAUGUAAUUCGCCUGAGGAUGAGCUCGCGUCUGAUUAGCUAGUUGGUAGGGUAAGAGCCUACCAAGGCGACGAUCAGUAGCUGGUCUGAGAGGAUGAUCAGCCACACUGGGACUGAGACACGGCCCAGACUCCUACGGGAGGCAGCAGUGGGGAAUUUUCCGCAAUGGGCGCAAGCCUGACGGAGCAAGACCGCGUGCGGGAUGAAGGUCUGUGGACUGUAAACCGCUUUUGAUAGGGAAGAACACAAUGACGGUACCUAUCGAAUCAGCCUCGGCUAACUCCGUGCCAGCAGCCGCGGUAAUACGGAGGAGGCAAGCGUUAUCCGGAAUUAUUGGGCGUAAAGCGUCCGUAGGUGGUGAUGCAAGUCUAUUGUCAAAGCAUGAGGCUUAACCUCAUACCGGCAGUGGAAACUGCAUUGCUAGAGUGCGAUAGGGGCAAGGGGAAUUCCCAGUGUAGCGGUGAAAUGCGUAGAUAUUGGGAAGAACAUCGGUGGCGAAAGCGCCUUGCUGGGUCUGCACUGACACUGAGGGACGAAAGCUAGGGGAGCGAAAGGGAUUAGAUACCCCUGUAGUC
rnacentral:rRNA from 1 species